rnacentral:rRNA from 1 species
UACGUAGGGUGCGAGCGUUGUCCGGAAUUAUUGGGCGUAAAGGGCUCGUAGGCGGUUCGUCACGUCGGGAGUGAAAACUCGGAGCUUAACUCCGAGCCUGCUUCCGAUACGGGCAGACUAGAGGUAGGCAGGGGAGAGCGGAACUCCUGGUGUAGCGGUGAAAUGCGCAGAUAUCAGGAAGAACACCCGUGGCGAAGGCGGCUCUCUGGGACGGUACUGACGCUGAGACGCGAAAGCGUGGGGAGCGAACAGG